ACCCCGUCCCCGGGGGAGCGUUCCGUCACGCUUGAGAGGAAGGCCGCAGCCUUCGACCCGCUGAACCUGAUCCGGCUGACACCGGCGUAGGGAGGGAGCGGCCAGACAAG
rnacentral:ncRNA from 2 species